UGGUAAUGUUUUUGUUCACCAGUAAUUAAAUCAAUAAUCAAUCCAUUGUUUCGACAUAACUGGCUAUAUUUAAUUUGUUACAAUAACAACGUUUCGACUGCCGAUCGCAGUCCUCUUCAGGACCAUACCAUUUUUACUAUCCCGAAAAAACUAAACGGCAUUAUCAAAACAGGGAAAGAUCCUCUCGACAAAUUAAACAAAAAAGAGUUAAUAUACAAAAUUGAAUGUAGGGACUGUGACGCUUGUUAUGUAGGACAAACGAAACGACACCUAAAAACACGUAUAAAAGAACAUGAAGCCAAUAUCAGGAGAGAACAUAGUACACACUCAGUGGUCAGCAAUCAUCGUGAAACUUUAAAUCAUGAUUUUAAAUGGUCGAAUACUAGAAUAUUACAUACAGAAAAACACACAAGGAAACGAGAAAUCGCUGAAAUGAUCUUCAUAAAGAAAGAAAACAAUUCUAUCAAUUUACAGAACGACACAGACAACCUUUCUAAGAUAUACGAUAAGAUAAUACGAAUUUUAUAAACAUUAACGUCCGUUCUUGCUCUCCUCCUUGUCAUUAUUAUCUGAACUACUGAGGUGUGCGCAGUGAUCUGCUUGAUAUUCCCAGAUGUACGGACAUAUGGAUCCUACUUAUUGCUCGAAUUCAAAGAACCGAACUAACUAAUUGACGAACAUUACGUUAUUUUAUCCAUCUGGAUCGUCCCCAUGGUUCAAAUGAGACAACCAAGAGACAAGACGAAUUUUAGCCGCGCUUUCGGAGCAAGCUUGCGACGGGGACAAAUCGUGAAGUCUGCUUCUAUGUAACAGUGCAGAUCUUAACGCCGAAAAAGGCGAAAUGUCAAGUUCCAUGAUAGUUUUGUUUAAAAGAAAACUAGUAUACGUAUACAGUAAGAUUAUUUUCUGUCGCUAUUACAUAAAGUUUUCAUACAUUUUUCACAAUACGAUAUUUUAUCCCGACUCUGGAAUGUGUUCUUCCAGUUAAUCUUUUCAGAACGUCAAACCGUUGUUUUAUUUUUAGUCACUUGACAGUUAUCUAAUAAAAUAAUGUACACCUCGAUGAUUUAUAAUAUAGUUCAUCCGAGUAAUUUCUUCCACAAA